AUGUUAUCAAGAAAGGCGGAGGGAAUAGACCCUAUGAAGCCUUAGCAACCCUUUCUCCCGAAAGAAGGUGCUACAUUCUAUCUGUUUUUGCAGAAUAGAUAACGC
rnacentral:ncRNA from 21 species